CAUUGUUCUGAUUGACUCAGGCCAGUGGAACAUCUUAAGCUAGUGGUAACUCAACAAUGAUAAUGGAAGAAAUGAAGGUAGCCAGUUCAGGCAUGAAAAUCCCUCUCCUGCUACUGAUACCUCCUGAAAGAAGAAACUGGCAAGAAGGACUGUCACAGUUGGUUACAAUACUACUUCACCUUUCAACAACUCAGUCAUUCCCACACCCAGUGUGCAGUGCGCAUGCCACUGAACUCUGCACAGAAAGAACAUGAAGGGCCAAACCAUACAGAAACAGAAGGGCUACCAGAGAAAAGCGAAGAGUGGGUGGUAUGCUGGAGCAAGCAGAGAGACUCCCACCAAGGGAGAGAAACUCAGGUUAGCGAGAUCUCCACAUUUUCAAUAACGAAUAACAAAGCCUGUUCCAAUGGAUCAUUUAAGAGCCAUGUUAGCUGAAAGAGAUUUUUUUACCCAUGGUUUUUGAAACACCAAUCACCUAUUAAAUGGCUGAGUGCUUUUGUUGCUCAAUAUCAAAUAUUUUGGAAUAUUUUUUCAUUGUCAAAAGUUGCAGUUUGUUCCUUUCUUCCCAAAAGUUUGUUGUUUAAAAAAAUAAAAAACUUUGCCUCGCCAAAGGCAGAAGGAUUGCAUGUAAAUCUUCCAUUUAGCAGUUCAGGGGACUUCAUUCCUCAGUGUGCUUCUUUUAAAGAGAACAAAGCACCUUUUCGCUUCUGCACUUACUGCUUCAUUUGUUCUUGCUCUUUGCUUGUGCUAAAACUGAAGCUCAGACAAGUUAAGUGAUGACUGUUUGACCUUGACUCCAGGAGGCUGUCAUCUAUAUCCAUUCUCCCUUCCCAGGGGCGGUCUCUUUGGGAUCACUUCUAAUACCCACUCUCUGGGAAUCACGGGAGCUCCGGGGCUGAAUACGUGUAACAGAG
rnacentral:lncRNA from 1 species